GACGUAGGGCGCGAGCGUUGUCCGGAUUUAUUGGGCGUAAAGAGCUCGUAGGCGGCUUAGUCGCGUCGGAUGUGAAAUCUCCCGGCUCAACUGGGAGGGGUCAUUCGAUACUGGCGGGCUCGAGGCCGGUAGGGGGAAGUGGAAUUCCCGGUGUAGUGGUGGAAUGCGUAGAUAUCGGGAGGAACACCAGUGGCGAAGGCGGCUUCCUGGACCGGUUCUGACACUGAGGAGCGAAAGCGUGGGGAGCGGAUCCGG
rnacentral:rRNA from 1 species